GCGCGCGAUUCAGUUUCUAUUCUCGCGCAAUGGAAUAAACAAACUGCGCGUGGGGCUUGCUAGUUUUGAUCCAAAUAUAAUUGCGCUGAUCAAAACAUUUUAAAAAUAUAAUAAUAAUUUGCCUGGACAAAUAACAGCAAGCGGACAGAAUGGGGGACGACACUCCCGAGAGGGAAAUGAAGGAUUUUCAGUUCCGGCAGAUGAAGAAAAUCCGUGUCUUCGACUCUCCUGAUGAUUUGCCCAGGGAGCGCUCCAGUCUUCUCGCCAUCUCGAACAAAUUUGGCGUGACAUUCGUCGGCCAGGGCAGAGCGCUCAAGGUGUUUUUGACCGAUGACAUCAUCACUGCAGGGAAGGUCAGCGGAAACACUAACGAGAUAGUGGAGGGUGUGGAGUGCCAGGCGCUGACCGUCGACCUCCCCAUGCACCACUUGGCCCUCAGCAGCGAUGAACUCACCCUGUCAGUGUGUGGCGCUAGCGAGGAAACUGGUCUCACUCUAGACUUCUAUGACGUCCGCACCUUCUUCAACAAGACCCGACAGGACAAACGUCCCUUCGCGUCCUUUAAAGCGGACUCCCAGCCAGACACCCUGGUGCAGGAUCUAAAAUGGAGUCCGGUCGAGGCGUUCAGAGUCUCAGCUUGUCUUUCAGAUGGCAGUAUGAUGGUGCUGGACGUGAUGGACAAAAUUGUACCCGUCGCUCAACUUCCUGCUUCCGUCGGCAUCACCUGUGUUUGCUGGAGUCCUAAAGGAAAGCAGGUUGCUGCUGGGAAACAGGACGCCACCGUGGUUCAGUACACUCCCGAUCUGCAGCAGAAGAAGGUGAUCCCUUGUCCGAGUUUCUACACCGCAGACAAUCCCGUUAAAGUGUUGGACGUGUUAUGGUUAAGCACCUACAACUUCGCCGUGGUGUAUGCGGCGGCCGACGGCUCUCUUGAGACUCCGCCCGAGCUCGUCAUGGUGUCACUUCCUAAGAAAGACGAGAAGAAAGAGGACAAGUUCCUGAACUUCAGCGACAUCGUGUUCGGCUCAUGCACCGAGAGACAGCAUCAUUACUUCCUGAACCAUAUCGAGGACUGGGAUCUGAUCCUCGCUGCCUCAGCUGCCUCCAUCGAAGUCAACAUUAUCGCUAAACAGGAGGACAAGACAAACUGGGAGCUGUGGUUACUGGAGGACGCGAGCCGAGGAGAACUUCCUGUCACUCUGAACAACGACGACACGCUUCCUGUGGGAGUGGCCAUCGACUACACCAGUCAGGGCGAGAUACACAUAUCUGAUGAGAAGAAGCUCCCACCGGCUCCCACACUGCUGAUCCUCUCGACCGAUGGAGUGCUGUGUCCGUUCUCCCUCAUCAACCUGAACCCGGGUGUUAAGCAGCUGGUCAUGUCUGCCGGCAGCCUGCCUCAGAACGGAGAGAGACCGCCUUUACAGAAGUCCCUGCCUCCACCUCAGGCUCCUGCCACUUCCAAACCACCUCCUCCUGUCUUCUCGCCAUUCCAAAUGCCCUCCAUUACACCUGCCUCUUCUUCUGCCCCUCCUGCUGCUCCUCCUGCUGCUCCAGCAGCUCCAGCAGCCUCUUCCUCCUCGGGUCUUUCAUUCAAUCUUCCCUCCGCUUCCUCCCUCUUCUCCUUCAGUGCUGCUUCUUCCACUUCUUCGAUCUUUCCCUCUGCAUCAGGCUUCUCCUUCGCACCUCCUAAACCUGCAAGUGAGGCGCCCUCUGUCCCUGCCUUUAGCGGCGCUAUCAGCAUUAAACCCCUGACGGAGGGCACCGGCGCAUUAGGGCACGUGCCUACGGCUACAGCUUCUCCUGUCACCCUGCUGAAGGGUGGAACGGAGCUGGCCACACCUAACGUUCGGGUCAACCUCAAUGACAGGUUUCUAGCAGCAGAGACGCCCAACCCACCAGCUCCAUCUACCCAACCCUUCUCCUUCACCUCCACUCCCAAACCAGCAGCAGCUCCAGAAUUGAGUGGUCAACCCAAACCUGUGUUCAACAUCAACAAACCUGCUGCACCCCCCACAGUAGUGACACGCCCUGCCCCUGCUCAGAACAACGCUCCAUCUGCUGCAGUGCAGAAAACUACUCCAGCUCCAGCCGCCUCAUCUGCUCCCCCUUCAACACAGCUUUCUUCUGUGAAAUUUGUGGAGAAACAGCUCCAGCAGACGAAAGACUCCGAUCCAGUGAUGGUUGGAAUACAGGAAGAAACCUCUCAUUUCAAAAAGGAGCUGGACGAGCUGAAGGCACGUGUGAAGGCAGCAGAUUUCUGUGUAGGGAGCUCAGAUGAGAUGAGGGAGCUACGCAAAGAGAGUGAAGACCUGCAGAGGUUCACACUGGAGAUCAAGGAGACCACGGAGUCCAUGCAUGGUGAUAUCAGCACUCUGAAGACAACGCUGCUGGAGGGGUUCGCUGGAGCAGAAGAAGCUCGAGCUCAGAGAGAACUAAACCGAGACAAAGGCUACCUCCAGCUCCUCUACAAGAAACCGCUGGACCCACGCAGAGAGAGCCAGCUCAAGGAGAUCCGCAGGUUGUACCAGUACGUCAAGUUUACCGUGGAGGACGUUAAUGAUGUGUUAGACCUGGAGUGGGAAAAACAUCUGGAGAAGAAGAGAAAGCAGAGACACAUGAUAAUCCCUGAGCGAGAGGCUCUUUACACAGCUCUGGCCAACAACAUGGACAUCAUCAACCAGCAGAAACAGAAGCUGGAGCAUCUGGUGAGAGACCUGCAGAGCCUGAGACUCUACAACAAAACCUCCAGCCAGCUCUCCUCUACCUCCUCACCAGCACCUUCAUCAUCCUCUCAGGGUUUGGAUAGCGAGCUGGAGAGUCUGAAAAACGCCUUGUUGAAGGCGAGUCUGGAUACGACGCCCAAAGCUUCUUCCAAAUCUCCAUCUAAGAUGACUCCAGUGAAGCAAUCUCAGCUGAGGAACUUCCUGUCCAAGCGUCAGACUCCACCUGUACGAUCCACAGCUCCAGGUAACUUAUCGAGAUCAGCUUUCCUGUCCCCCAAAUACUUUGAGGAUCUGGACGACGUGAGCUCCACCUCGUCUCUGUAUCAGCCUCCGGAGUGUGAUGACCCGCUGCCUGUGCCGGAGGAAGUGGAAGUGCCUCUGCCUGUCCCGAACCUUCCGAGACACCCCACUGUAGUGCGCACUUCGUCCAUCCUGCCUCGAUCCAUCAUCGACUCCCCGCCGAUGUUCCCUGGAGCAACGCAGUGGCCAGUGAUGAGCGCUGGACCUCGCGCAGUCCCCAAGAUAAACAUGGACAGCGCCGACAGCACGGCACUGGCUACCAAGACAGUGACACACGGACCUCCUCCUCCAGAAAAGGCCACGUCUCUAGAGAAGACCACACCCACCACACUGCCCCCUGCUCAGGCUGCAGGAAGAGCCGCUUUAAACCGACACAUGAACAGUCAGAAACCAAUGACAAAUCUGACUGAACUCACGCUGAAGAACGUGCCUCAAGUUGUGAACGUACAGGAGCUGAAGGAUAACGGAGCCAACAUGCCUGUUUCCACUGACCCCAGGUCAGUAACCUCUCUCCACCGCGCCUCCAUGGCUUCAUCUGCAGAUCAAACAUUUCAGCAGGUUUUGGCAACCGUCGAAGCCAAAAAACCCCAUUCUGUUCAGAACCCCACCCAGAAUGCAGUAACGGUUCAUCCCCCGGUCUCAGAGAGCGCUCCGGCCCAACCCAGUUUUGUGUUCAGUCAUUUACCCAAACCUGACACUGCUGCACCGUUCAGCUUACCUUCAUCUAUGGAACAGCAGAUCAACAAAGGAGUAUCACCUGCAGGAUUCCCCUUUAGCCUGAGCACCACGUCAUCACAACCCCAAGGAGCGAGCUCUUCUCAAAGUGUGACCCAGGUGGGUAAAAUCCCCCAGAAACCUGCACAGAGCUUGAUGAAUGAACCGGGCAAAAGCUCUACCAUUCCCCCGUUCCAGGUUCCCAGAGCUCAAGAAGAUUCUCUCGGCCCUUUCCUCGGUCUCAGAGUUGGCCAGGGAGACGAGGUUAAAGAAUCUCCUAAGCCCAGUUCAACCUUCACCUUCAAGCCACCAAGCACAGGUCCUGGGAUGACGUUCACGUUCGGAAACGCUCCGAAACCUGCCGCCACUGGCAACAACUCGGAGUCCGGCGGGACUACACUGGAGGCAGCUCAAAAUCCGGGAAUAUUUAAGCCCCCUGAAAGCGCAGCGUCAUCCAUGACCAGCAAAAAGUUCUUAUUUGCGCCUGCUUCAUCUGCAUCCAUCCCAUCCUUCAGCUCUCUGCUCGCAGCUCCUCUUCCUCAGGAAACGCCCGCCGUCCCUGAGAAACCUACUGAACCUGAACCUUCUCCUCCACCCGAGUCGGUUUCUACCACUACACCUGAAGAACCUUCUUCAGAACCGAGCGCCGAAGCUUCUGCUAUCUCUACAUCCACUCCGUCUCCAGCGUCUGUCACAGAAGAACCUCCACCUUCCCAACCCAAGCACGAAGAGCCGGAAACUCCGGCGACCCAGACCACACCUGUUCCAGAGGCCACACCCACAUCUACGCCAUCUCUGGCUGAGACGGUGCCUGUAACAGCGUCGAAACCCGUCCAGGAAACGACACCUGCUUCUACGGUUACUAUAGAACAACAACAACAACCACCAGCAGCAGAACCAGCAGCUCCAGCUCCACCCUCCACCACUCCAGGCUCCAUCUUCACCCAGCCAACUGUCAGCAGCAACAGUACGACGUUAUCAGUCACCGUCUUCACCCCGGUCAUCAGUACAGCAGCUGUCAGCAUGCCUGCGCCAACUUCAGUGUUCUCUCAGGCGGUCAGCACCUCCUCCAACCCUGCAUUCGGAUCUUCAGGAUUCGGCACCACUUCCACCGCUUCCACUUUUGGAAAACCGGUUUUCGGACAGUCUACAUCAUCAGGAUUUCCCUCGGCCAGCAGCUUCAAUUUUGGCCAGUUUGCAUUUGGGGGUGGGUCCGUGGGCGGGUUCGGACAGACACCGGCACCGACCACGGCUCCUGCUCCGGCAUCCAGCAGCGGAGGAGGAAGUGGAGGAGGAGGAGGGCUGUUUGGGUCAAGUAGCUCCACUAGUGCCAGCUCCUUCUCGUUCGGGUCGAGCAGUACCAGUUCUGGAGCGAACACUGGGACGAGCAUCUUCGGGCAGAGCAGCGCGCCUGCUUUCGGGCAGAGCAGCAGCACCUCAGUGUUUGGACAUGGAUCGUUAUUUGGAGGGAACACGGCCACAGUGACCACAUCUUCUGGGUUUAGCUUUGGACAGCCUGCAGCGUUCGGCAGCACCUCUUCUUCGUCAGUGUUUGGUCAGCAGCCGAGCACCAACAGCGUCUUUGGCCAGCCAUCAUCCAGUGGCAGUUUGUUUGGUUCUGGGGCCCCCAGCUCCUCCAGCUCUUCUGGCGGAGGAUUUUUCAGUGGUUUGGGAGGCAAGCCGAGCGAGGACGCUGCCAACAAAAACCCGUUCGGAUCCACUAACACCAGUGCUUUCGGUCAAACCAAUCAAACAGGUGGCAGCUUAUUUGGGAACAGUGGUGCGAAGGCGUUCGGGUUUGGAAAUUCGACGUUUGGAGAUCAGAAGGCCAGUGGGACGUUCAGCGCUGGAGGAGGUUCUGUAGCUGCUCAAGGCUUCGGCUCCUUCUCCUCUCCCGCUAAAUCAGGUGGGUUUGGAAGCCCUCCGGUCUUCGGAAGUCCUCCUUCGUUUGGAGGAUCUCCAGCGUUUGGAGGUCAGGCUACGUUCGGCUCGGCUCCGACCUUCACCAGUCCUCUGGGCCCCAGCACGGGGAAAGUGUUUGGGGAGGGAACGUCAGCGGCCAGCGUCGGAGGAUUCGGUUUUGCGUCUCCACCCAGCGGCCCCACCUUUGGCAGUCUGGCCAGUCAGAACACCGCACCAACAUUCGGCAGUUUGGCUCAGCAGACUCCGGGAUUCGGAGGCCAGAGCGGCGGCGGCGGCUUCUCGGGCUUCGGUUCUUCCGGAGCUGUGAGAAAGUUCUAAGCUGCUAUAUUAACACCAAGCUGCACAGAUUAGACGACAGGAUGAAGAGGCUCAUUUAUCAGUAAAGUUUCGGGGGCUUCGUGAACACGAAUACCAACCAGUAAGUCAUCUUCCCAGACGUUUGCCGGUUGGAGAAGCUAGUAGCUGGAAGCUCUGCUCUUCUCACACUCUGUAAUUAGCAUUUUUGGAAACAAGGAUCUCUCUAAAGUCACGCUCUGAAAUCUCAAUCAUGAUAAAACCCCGUGUUCAUCCUUAGAGCACCAGAAUCUUUAACAAAGCCUGGAACAACUCUGACUUUCUCCAACUCCGACUACUUUUUCAUGAAAACACCAACGUUUACAGUUGAAUAAACACCUCUGUUAGAUCAUCUUCAUACACCAGGGUUCUCCUUAAAAAACAUUAUUCUUCGUUAAAACACCUUUAAACCCACCUUGUUCUCCGUUGAAGGCCAUCAUACUCCAACAAUUCCAAUGAAAAUGUAACCAAAACUCAACAGACCUGCAAACACCAACUAUCUUCAUUUAAACACCAUCAAACACCAACAUUCUCCAGAAACAUACCACAAAAAGCCAACAUUCUCCAUUGAAAGGCUAAGAAACACCAACAUUUCCUUUAAAAAAAACAUUAAACACCAACAUUCUCCAUUGGAACAUAUUGAAACACCAACAUUCUCCAGAAACAUACCACAAAAAGCCAACAUUAUCCAUUUUAAGGCUUAGAAACACCAACAUUUCCUUUAAACACCAACCAUCCCCAUGGAAACACCAUCAAAAAGUAUCUUCUCCAUUAAGCCAACACCAAACACCACCAACGGCCAAGUAACUACUACUAACAAAAACAACACUAUCUCUGAAAGCCAGUAAAUGCCUUUAUUCCCCAUGAAAAUACACAAACGGCCAACAUUCUUUAUUCCCCCAAAGCCUCUUAACACCAACAUCUGAGACACAUUAGAACAUCUUCAAUCACCAAAAACCUAAAGUCCUUCAUUAAAAAGUGCUGGUGUGUUGGUGAACUUUUGGUUGUUUCCAGGGGAUUGGUUACAGGGUAAAGACACCGGGUCUGAGCCAUCAGAGACAUGACUGGCUUCCUCAUGCAGUGUUGUGUUUUCAUGAAGAUUUGUGAGGCUUGUGAAAUGAAAAGGGUUUUGUUUUGUACUCGGCGCGAGUUGUGAAUAAAUGAUGAAUUGAAUUUAACGUCCUGCGUCACUGCGAUAAGACGAACUUCAAAUAAAAUCAAAUGAAAGAGA